rnacentral:rRNA from 1 species
GACGAACGCUGGCGGCGUGCUUAACACAUGCAAGUCGAACGGAAAGGCCCUGCUUUUGUGGGGUGCUCGAGUGGCGAACGGGUGAGUAAAACGUGAGUAACCUGCCCUUGACUUUGGGAUAACUUCAGGAAAAUGGGGCUAAUACCGGAUAGGAGCUCCUGCAGCAUGGUGGGGGUUGGAAAGUUUCGGCGGUUGGGGAUGGACUCGAGGCUUAUCAGCUUGUUGGUGGGGUAGUGGCUUACCAAGGCUUUGACGGGUAGCCGGCCUGAGAGGGUGACCGGCCACAUUGGGACUGAGAGACGGCCCAGACGCCAACGGGAGGCAGCAGUGGGGAAUAUUGCACAGUGGGGGGAAGCCUGUUGCGGCAGCGCCGCGUGCGGGAUGACGUCCUUCGGGUUAUGAACCGCUUUCGCCUGUGACGAAGCGUGAGUGACGGUAAUGGGUAAAGAAGCACCGGCUAACUACGUG